GGCAAGGUGGCCGAGCGGUCUAAGGCGCCAGGUUCAGGUCCUGGUCUCAGUAAUGGGGCGUGAGUUCGAAUCUCACCCUUGUCA
rnacentral:tRNA from 1 species